rnacentral:rRNA from 1 species
GACAGAGGGGGCAAGCGUUGCUCGGAAUCACUGGGCGUAAAGGGUGCGUAGGCGGGGCUUUAAGUCAGGGGUGAAAUCCUGGAGCUCAACUCCAGAACUGCCUUUGAUACUGAAGAUCUUGAGUUCGGGAGAGGUGAGUGGAACUGCGAGUGUAGAGGUGAAAUUCGUAGAUAUUCGCAAGAACACCAGUGGCGAAGGCGGCUCACUGGCCCGAUACUGACGCUGAGGCACGAAAGCGUGGGGAGCAAACAGG